rnacentral:rRNA from 1 species
UACGGGGGGGGCAAGCGUUGUUCGGAAUUACUGGGCGUAAAGGGCUCGUAGGCGGCCAACUAAGUCAGACGUGAAAUCCCCAGGCUUAACCUGGGAACUGCAUCCGAUACUGGAUGGCUUGAAUUCGGGAGAGGGAUGCAGAAUUCCAGGUGUAGCGGUGAAAUGCGUAGAUAUCUGGAGGAAUACCGGUGGCGAAGGCGGCAUCCUGGACCGACAUUGACGCUGAACGGCGAAAGCUAGGGGAGCAAACGGG